AACGGUCUAUACCUGCGGUACCUGCGGAAGGAUCAUUACCGAGUUAUCAACUCCCAAACCCCUGUGAACAUACCCGAACGUUGCCUCGGCGGGACCGCCCCGGCGCCCCUAGCGGCCCGGAACCAGGCGCCCGCCGGAGGACCCAAACUCUUGCUUUAAACAGUGGCAUACUCUCUGAGUCUCACAAACAAAAGAUAAAUCAAAACUUUUAACAAUGGAUCUCUAGAUCGGAAGAGCACA
rnacentral:misc_RNA from 1 species